GGACAUUUAGCUCAGUUGGUUAGAGUACUACCUUGACAUGGUAGGGGUCACAAGUUCAAAUCUUGUAAUGUCCA
rnacentral:tRNA from 1 species